rnacentral:sRNA from 1 species
GACCAACACGGAAAAAUCAUGUCUCUACUAAAAAUAUAAAAAUUAGCCGGGCGUGGUGCGCACCUGUAAUCCCAACUACUCGGGAGGCUGAGGCAGGAGAAUCGCUUGAACUUGGGAGGCGGAGGUUGCAGUGAGCCGAGAUGGCACCAUUGCAUUCCAGCCUGGGUGAGAGAGUGAGACUCCAUCUCAAAAAGAAAAAGAAAGAAACCAAAAGAUACAAAAAUUAGCUUGGCGUGGUGACACACACCUGUCGUCCCAGCUACUCAGGAUGCUGAGGCAGGAGAAUCGCUUGAACCCGGGAGGCGGAGGUUGCGGUGAGUGGAGAUUGCGCCACUGCACUCCAGCCUGGGCGACAGAGUGAGAUUCCGCCUCAGGAAAAAAAAAAAAAAAAAAAAGCAGAGGUGGCUGUUUGAGAAGAUGAUGUCUGAAUAAAGACCUCCAACAAGGAGGCCACACAGACAGUAGGGGAAACGUGUCUUGGGAUUUCAGGCAGCAGAAGACAGCAAAAGCCUUGCAGUGGGAGCAUUUGGGGAGAGUACAGAGGUAAACGUGGCUAUGGCAGGAGUGAGGGGGUGAAUAGGGGUAGAUGAGCCCAGAAGGGUGAUGAAGAGCCAGGUGCUGUAGACCGUCAUAAGAUUGCCUCGUAAAACAGGGAGUUACUUCUGGGUUUGAGUGGUGGAGUGCCUUGUAGGUGGCAACGGUGGAAACAGAGAGACCUUUAGGGUAACUGAGAGUUGAACUAUGUGGUGGUUUGAGAGGAGGCACUAACGGUUUUGAAGGUGUUGCUGAUGAGAUCUGAUGACAAGUUGCGUGCUGGGUAUUAGAGACAGAGAUUUGCCUUUAGUCUGAGCCUCUGGAAGGGUGAAGCCACCAUCAGGCAAAAGUAGCGCAGGGCGCAGGCACAGCAAGUCCAGGGAAGACCGCGGCUGGGGGCCUGUGUAGCGCAGGGCGCAGGCACAGCAAGUCCAGGGAAGACCGCGGCUGGGGGGCCUGUGUAGUGUGUUUGAGGGUAUGUUGUAGAGGUUGUUGGGUUAGGAGACGUGGGUCUGCCAAAAACGUACCUCCUGGCAAUCCUGUCUUGCUAGUUGGUAACCCUUGUGAAGGGAGUAGACUGACCCUGUAGGCCACUCCCCGCCCCCUCUACUUCCACUUCCCACUGGGGUCGCUGACUUCUGCCUCCUCAGCCGGCGUAAAGGCCGUGCCUCUGAGCACAAAGACCAGCUCUCUCGGCUGAAGGACAGAGACCCCGAGUUCUACAAGUUCCUGCAGGAGAAUGACCAGAGCCUGCUAAACUUCAGCGACUCGGACAGCUCUGAGGAGGAAGAGGAGCCGUUCCACUCCCUGCCAGAUGUGCUGGAGGUGAGGGCGUGGGCCAAACCAGAAGCGGGGCACUUGUCUCUACACUCUCCUUCAGCUCAGCCUUUCUGUGCAGGAAGCCAGUGAGGAGGAGGAUGGAGCGGAGGAAGGGGAAGAUGGGGACAGAGUCCCCAGAGGGCUGAAGGGGAAGAAGAAUUCUGUUCCUGUGACUGUCGCCAUGGUUGAGAGAUGGAAGCAGGCAGCAAAGCAACGCCUCACUCCAAAGCUGUUCCAUGAAGUGGUACAGGCGUUCCGAGCAGCUGUGGCCACCACCCGAGGGGACCAGGAAAGUGCUGAGGCCAACAAAUUCCAGGUCACGGACAGUGCUGUGUUCAAUGCUCUGGUUACCUUCUGCAUCAGAGACCUCAUUGGCUGUCUCCAGAAGCUGCUGUUUGGAAAGGUGGCAAAGGAUAGCAGCAGCAAAUGUGGGCCAAAGGAAACCAGUCUGCGGCAGUUGGUGGUGCCUGGCCGACCCCAGAGGUGCCGAGUACCAGCUGCUGGGCUUAGGGACCUCGUGUGGUCUCACGGUGGGGAUGUGAUCAAGGGGACCUAGAAAAGGUUUAUGUCUGAGAGAGGGAGUUGGAGGCUGGGACUUCCGGGGACUCUUAGGGAGGUGGCCAACCCUGGGCAGGGCAGACAGGAGUUCAAGGCCACUGAAGGAGGGGCUAAUGCACUUGAGAGGGUCCUGCUAAGCCCCUGUGUCUGUCCAGCCGUAAGGGGCCCUGAGCUUUUUUGAGUGGAGAGACGGGGGGGGGUCUCUGCAGAGUCGUAGAGGCUAUGCUGGCCAGGGCACGCGCCAACAUGCUGAGCAGCCUCGCGUCCGAGCCGUGGGGCCUCCCAGCCAGGGGUGGGUGGUCUCUCUGCAGGAUGCUGCAGCCGUCCAGCAGCCCGCUCUGGGGGAAGCUCCGUGUGGACAUCAAGGCUUACCUGGGCUCGGCCAUACAGCUGGUGUCCUGUCUGGCGGAGACGACGGUGUUGGCGGCCGUGCUGCGGCACAUCAGCGUGCUGGUGCCCUGCUUCCUGACCUUCCCCAAGCAGUGCCGCAUGCUGCUCAAGAGAAUGGUGGUCGUAUGGAGCACUGGGGAGGAGUCCCUGCGGGUGCUGGCUUUCCUGGUCCUCAGCAGAGUCUGCCGGCACAAGAAGGACACUUUCCUUGGCCCCGUCCUCAAGCAAAUGUACAUCACGUAUGUGAGGAACUGCAAGUUCACCUCGCCUGGUGCCCUCCCCUUCAUCAGUUUCAUGCAGCGGACCCUGACGGAGCUGCUGGCUCUGGAGCCAGGUGUGGCCUACCAGCACGCCUUCCUCUACAUCCGCCAGCUCGCCAUACACCUGCGCAACGCCAUGACCACCCGCAAGAAGGAAACAUACCAGUCUGUGUACAACUGGCAGUACGUGCACUGCCUCUUCCUGUGGUGCCGGGUCCUGAGCACUGCGGGCCCCAGCGAAGCCCUCCAGCCCUUGGUCUACCCCCUUGCCCAAGUCAUCAUUGGCUGUAUCAAGCUCAUCCCCACUGCCCGCUUCUACCCGCUGCGAAUGCACUGCAUCCGUGCCCUGACGCUGCUCUCGGGGAGCUCGGGGGCCUUCAUCCCGGUGCUGCCUUUCAUCCUGGAGAUGUUCCAGCAGGUCGACUUCAACAGGAAGCCAGGGCGCAUGAGCUCCAAGCCCAUCAACUUCUCCGUGAUCCUGAAGCUGUCCAAUGUCAACCUGCAGGAGAAGGCGUACCGGGACGGCCUGGUGGAGCAGCUGUAUGACCUCACCCUGGAGUACCUGCACAGCCAGGCACACUGCAUCGGCUUCCCGGAGCUGGUGCUGCCUGUGGUCCUGCAGCUGAAGUCGUUCCUCCGGGAGUGCAAGGUGGCCAACUACUGCCGGCAGGUGCAGCAGCUGCUUGGGAAGGUUCAGGAGAACUCGGCAUACAUCUGCAGCCGCCGCCAGAGGGUUUCCUUCGGCGUCUCUGAGCAGCAGGCAGUGGAAGCCUGGGAGAAGCUGACCCGGGAAGAGGGGACACCCCUGACCUUGUACUACAGCCACUGGCGCAAGCUGCGUGACCGGGAGAUCCAGCUGGAGAUCAGUGGCAAAGAGCGGCUGGAAGACCUGAACUUCCCUGAGAUCAAACGAAGGAAGAUGGCUGACAGGAAGGAUGAGGACAGGAAGCAAUUUAAAGACCUCUUUGACCUGAACAGCUCUGAAGAGGACGACACCGAGGGAUUCUCGGAGAGAGGGAUACUGAGGCCCCUGAGCACUCGGCACGGGGUGGAAGACGAUGAAGAGGACAAGGAGGAGGGUGAAUGGUCUUGGGAUGGAGACCCAGACGCAGAGGCGGGGCUGGGCCCUGGGGAGCUGCAGCAGCUGGCCCAGGGGCCGGAGGACGAGCUGGAGGAUCUGCAGCUCUCAGAGGACAACUGAGGCAGCCCAUCUGGGGGGCCUGUAGGGGCUGCCGGGCUGGUGGCCAGUGUUUCCACCUCCCCGGCAGUCAGGCCUAGAGGCUGGCGUCUGUGCAGUUGGGGGAGGCAGUGGACACGGGACAGGCUUUAUUAUUUAUUUUUCAGCAUGAAAGACCAAACGUAUCGAGAGCUGGGCUGGGCUGGCGUGGCUGCUGAAGCCCCACAGCUGUGGGCUGCUGAAGUCAGCUCCGCGGGGGAGCUGACCCUGACGUCAGCAGACCGAGACCAGUCCCAGUUCCAGGGGGAGGCCUGCAGGCCCCUGGCCCCUUCCACCACCUCUGCCCUCCGUCUGCAGACUUCGUCCAUCCGCACCAGGCGCUGCCUUCACUCCCCCAAGUCUUUGUAAAUUUGUUCCUUUCAUUUGAAGUCACAUUUUCUUUUAAAAUUUUUUGUUUUGCAUCCGAAACGGAAAGAAAUAAAGCGGUGGGAGGCAGGGCCAUUGUAUU